CGCCAAAGGUCUUUCUACCAGCAAAACAAAAUAGCAGGACAGAAGUGACAGCGUCAGAAACAAAACAUUGCUGUUCCGAUUGCUGAUGGAGACAACAGAGAAAGACAGGAGAAGGUCAAGACUCAAGAGCUGGACUUUCCAUGACGUCCUCACUCGACCCCUGUGAAUAGCAGCCCACCGUUGACCAGCCAUCAGUAUCUACUGUGCAGUCAUUUCCUGACCCGGUUUCUCACUAGCCCUUCGCAGACGAACACUACCACCUGAAGACGGUCGUCUGGAUAAUACUUCGGUUUGGCACCGGCAUGGUCUACCACAAAGAUAGACGCCAGACCUUCUGAAAGGACCUAAUGGACUGAGUGCUGGAAAGGAGACAACCCCUCUAUAGAAUAAACUGACUGUAACAAACACUCCACC